rnacentral:rRNA from 1 species
GCAAGUCGAACGAAGUAGCAAUACUUAGUGGCAGACGGGUGAGUAACAUGUGGGUAUCUUCCCUUUGGUGAGGAAUAACACGAGGAAACUUGUGCUAAUACCUCAUAAGUCUUUACGGAGAAAGCUUUAUGCGCCAAUGGAUGAGCCCGCACUUGAUUAGUUUGUUGGUGGGGUAAUGGCCUACCAAGACUUUGAUCAAUAGCUGAUCUGAGAGGAUGAUCAGCCACAUUGGGACUGAGACACGGCCCAAACUCCUACGGGAGGCAGCAGUAGGGAAUAUUGCACAAUGGAGGAAACUCUGAUGCAGCGAUGCCGCGUGAGUGAAGAAGGCCUUUGGGUUGUAAAGCUCUUUCGUCGGGGAAGAAAAUGACUGUACCCGAAUAAGAAGGUCCGGCUAACUUCGUGCCAGCAGCCGCGGUAAUACGAAGGGACCUAGCGUAGUUCGGAAUUACUGGGCUUAAAGAGUUCGUAGGUGGUUAAAAAAGUUGGUGGUGAAAUCCCAGAGCUUAACUCUGGAACUGCCAUCAAAACUUUUUAGCUAGAGUAUGAUAGAGGAAAGCAGAAUUUCUAGUGUAGAGGUGAAAUUCGUAGAUAUUAGAAAGAAUACCAAUUGCGAAGGCAGCUUUCUGGAUCAUUACUGACGCUGAGGAACGAAAGCAUGGGUAGCGAAGAGGAUUAGAUACCCUCGUAGUCCAUGCCGUAAACGAUGUGUGUUAGACGUUGGAAAUUUAUUUUCAGUGUCGCAGCGAAAGCAUUAAACACACCGCCUGGGGAGUACGACCGCAAGGUUAAAACUCAAAUGAAUUGACGGGGACCCGCACAAGUAGUGGAGCAUGUGGUUUAAUUCGAAGAUACGCGCAGAACCUUACCAACACUUGACAUGUUCGUCGCGACUC